rnacentral:tRNA from 1 species
GGGUGAUUAGCUCAGUUGGCGAGAGCGUCUGGUUUACACCCAGAAGGUCGCGGGUUCGAAUCCCUCAUCACCCACCA